ACAAAGGCCCUUUUCAGGGCCACCCAUCCUUUCACUCGAAAGGGUU
rnacentral:ncRNA from 1 species